UGUAAGGGCCUCAUCACAGUCAACUGCCAGUCCCAUCGCUCCCUCAUCUUGGUGCUACUGCGACUGCGCUGUCUUUCUGCACACAUUAUGCAUCCGGCAGGACACUGUUAGAGUUGACGUUAAAAUCACAACACGUCUUUUAGAGAAACGAGAGAGGGAAAGAGACAGAGCCUGGCAUCUCCCCACAUAUGCUGCACGUCUUGUGCUCUUCAUCUCUUCCUGUAGAUCUGAGUUACCAUCUGCCACUUCCCUUCACUCUAAAACUUCCUUCAGUCCAAGUCUGCUGGCAACGAACUUCCUCAGUUUUUGUUUAUCUGGAAAUGUCUUUAUUUCUCAUUUUUGAAAGAUAGUUUCUCCGGACACUGAGGUUUUGCUUGUAUUGUCGGUGAGCCUCCUGGACUGAAUCUGCUGGAUCUGUCCCUCCAUGUUGUGCAGCCAUGAUGUUUCUGCUCAGAAGCUUUCAGCAGCAAACGGCUUUCCUUCUAGAGGACUCUACAUUAAAUCGGGGCAAAUAUCAGGGCAAACUAAAUUCCUCCCUCAUCACUUCCCUGGGUUGGUGACCUACACAGAAGAGCAGAGCAGUAACUGGACCAGCCAGAUCCAGCCCAGCUGAGCCCACGCACAGGAAGCGUGGGCUGUGAAGUGGCCACACCCCCAGCCGCUGCUCCAGAAGGCUCUCCCCGCACAGGCCUAGCCUCACAAGCGUGUGAGUUGGGAACACGCCACCGAGGGAGGCGGAGAGGCCGCGGACCACUUCUCCUGCAGCAGCAAGGCGCUUCCGGUGAUGUGCACGGCAAGGCGUCCCUGAAGCCAACAGCCCAUUACAGGGAGAGUUAACCCAUAAAGCGGGAUGGAUCACAAGAAGGUAAUUCAACUGCAAGACUCUUGACAACAGCAUUAAUCUAAUACUGCUUGGGAGGGAAAUCACUUUUUUUUGGUUUGGCGUUUUCAUUAACAGAACCACCCGACUGUCACUUAAAAAGCUGCGUCAGGAAAAACAGCCUCUCACGUGGUCUUUACUAGACAGAAUGACCUGACCUCGCUUUAUAUAAACCACAGAAUUGCUCGUUGAGCCACAGGCUGCAGGCCAUGUAGGCUAAACUUGGGUUUGUGAUGGCAUUCCAGAUACAAAUGCCAUUUACUGAUUGGGGGUUUUUCCAGCAAGGGUGGCUCGUGCGUAAGGGGACAGGAUGGAAAAAUCCUGAACAGGAGUUCCCACUGGGGCUCAGCGGGUGAAGAACCCAACGCUGUCUCUGUGAGGAUAUGGGUUGGACCCCUGGCCUGACCCUGUGUUGCCCUGGCUGCGGUGUAGGCCUCAGCGGCAGCUCUGAGACACGUGACCCGGGAACUUCCAUAUGCCACAAGUGCAUAAAAAGAAAAACCAAAAGCAAAAAAAACCCCUGGACAGCAUUCAGAGGGACACCACUUCAGAGCGCUUCUCAUGGGCAUUAGAGGGAAGCGGCGUUAGCGGGAAGCUCACCGGAACCUUCCCCUGCUCUUUUUCUUUUCAGGAGCUCCAGUCCCAUUUGGUUUAAACAAACAGCUCGGAGUCACAGAAAGCACCAGGUUUGCAUCUGAGAGCUGUGUUCACGCCCGCUUCUUUCACAAGAUGCUGAUGGGUACGCGAUGAGCCCACUCUACCUGGGCUAUAGUUUGAUCCGCUCAGUGUUCAUAACCUGGGGGAUGAGAAAACACCUCCCAGAUCCACCAAGGGAAACGGUACCACUGCAUUAAAUAGGCAAGAAGUUCAGGAUAAGCAUACUUUAGGGCUUUACACAAUGGAAUGACGCUGCUGCACGACAGACAACAAAACACAUAACGUGCAUGUAUGAAUAUGAUGGAUGCGUUCUUUGCAUUCGCAGCAAGAAAGUGGAAACAACUUAAGCUUCUUUUCUUGUGUCCUGAAGUAAAAUUCAUGAAGAACUUCUCCAAACAUUCCUCACCAAAACCCUCUCACACUUACAAAGAGGUUCUAAAACUAGAGGUGAAGCAAAACUCUCUAGAGCUGUGGCUCAGACACUUGAGCAUCACUUCAGAGUCAUUUCAAAUACUCAGGAGAUUUGUAUACACAUUAAUGUUUGAGAAGCACCGGCCUAUAGCACUUUUUCAAUUAAGCUUUUCCUUUUUUUUCUGUAAAAAAAAAUUUUUUUUUUAACUGAGGUAUAGGUUUGUUUUGUUUUUAUGGCCCCACCUGCAGCAUAUGGAAGUUCCCAGUCCAGGGGUCGAAUUGGAGCUGCAGCUGAGGCCUAUGCUGAAGCUUGUGGCAACACCAGAUCCUUAACCCACGGAGCGAGGCCAGGGAUCAACCCUCCAUCCUCACGGAAACAAUGUCGGGGUCUUAGCCCAAGGAGCCGCAACGGGAACUCCUCGAGUAAGCUUUAAUUACAUACAAGAGCUAGACUCUGAAUGAACUCCAUGUUACAGUUCAUUAGAACAGGGUGGAGGCUGCUUUGUCAGAUACGAGGAGGCUUUCCUUCAUCUGUGGCUUGACGCUACCUAAGCAACCAUCGCCAGUGUCGGGGUUUAGCACACCACACGCACUGAAGGCAAAGGGUACGGGGAUGUUCUCAGGUCGUCAGCAUUAAUGUCUCAACAGGACUUACUUAAGAAACUAGUCCUCAAAGUCAGAACUUCUAAAUUUUGUCGUCAGUGCUUCUCAAGCUUUGGCAGGCCUGAGAAUCACCAGGGGAAUUUGUUUUAAAAGGAAGAUAGUAAGGUCUCACCACCCAGGAGUCCUAUUAGGUUCAUCAGGAGUGAUUCUAGCAAUUCUAAGAAACGUGACAUCGGGGCUGGGAUUAGAAGGCACCCAGGGCACAUUUAGGGAAGUACUUACCCUCAGGUGCAAGCAAAUGCAAGACUGCCACCUGAGCAAACCUGACUGUAUGUGCCUCCUUAAAUGUCACAUUCAGGGCAUCUCGCUGGACUCAUCCUGGUCUUGGGCUUGUAUUGGGUGAGUCCAUGGACCAGCAGCACCAGCACAGUCUGGAGCCUUUUUAGAAAUACAGAAUCGUGGCCUAACUCCAGGACCACUGAAUCAGAAUCUGCAGGUUAACAAGAUUCUCAAGUUACUCUUUCAUUAAUUUUUUUUAGGGCCGCACCCGUGGCACAUGGAGGUUCCCAGGCUAGGGUCCAAUCGGAGCUACAGCUGCUGGCCUACGCCACAGCCACAGCAACGCGGGAUCCUCAACCCACUGAGUGAGGCCAGGGAUCAAACCCACGUCCUCAUGGAUGCUAGUCAGCUUCAUUACCGCUAAGCCAUGACGGGAAAUCCUCUCAGGUUAUUUCUUGUGCACACUGAAGUUUGAGAAACACUGAAAACAAGGGGAUGCCCAAACAAAGUCUUGCAACUGACACGAAAAUGCUAAGCUCUUUGUAACACAACAUGAUACAGGAACGUGAGCAGCGGCUGCCCACUGAGCUCAAAGGACAGCCCUACACUGACCAGCAGUUUUGUCGCUCUCUCUUAACCCCUGGCCUGAAUAACGACAUGAAAGAGAUGCUUGUUAAUCUGCAGGUGGAAUAAAACAAGAGGCUGCUGGUGCAAAAAGAAAGAACCAGGCCAUCUUGACAGGCCGGAGGACAGGUCGCACGCUGAACUAUAAUAAGUGUAGGAAAAAUUUUACACUUAAGCUAAAAAUUUCAAUAAUGAAUGUAUAUAAGAUGUGUGACAGUUUGCCUGGCAGCAAAACCUAUGAAAGAUCCUGGGAAUAAGUCCGGAAGUAAAUCAUGCAUUUAAUAUAAUGGCAUUUCACAUCAGUGGGAGAAAAUGAAUAAUUUAAUAAAUGGUGUUGGAAUAAUCGGGUAGCUAACCGGGAAAAAAAAUGAAAGUGUACCUCCACCCGCACGUCUUACAGCAAAAUGAAUUCCCGAAGGAUCGAAGAGUUAAACAUAAAAGCAAAUCUAUUACAGUAUGAGAAGAAAAUAUGAGGAAAACUUUCAAAAAAUAACCUCAGAGUGGGUGAGGCCUCUCUAAGCAAGAACAACAUCCGAAUGAUAUAAACAAAACCCAGAGGCUCUUUUUUAAAAGUGGAGACCUUUGACUGUAUCAAGAAAAGCACCUGCUGAGAACUAUGUCUAGAUACUCAUGCUGCAACAGAACGAAGGGUGGGGAAAAAAAAAUGUAAUGUAUACAUGUAAGGAUAACUUGAUCCCCUUGCUGUACAGUGGGAAAAUAAAAUUGAAAAAAAGAAAAAAAGAAAAAAAGAAAAGCACCUGCAUGGUAAAUCCCACUGUGAGCAAAACCCGGAGAAAGAUGACAAAGGGGGGUUACAACUGGCAUCAAAAACACAGUUGCCCUCCUGGGGAAGAGGGAGAAGACGAGUCUCGCGCUGCUGUAAAUGGCUGAGUCGGGGUUAAUGGAAGACAUUUCUGUGAGUUCAAUGUCAGCUGAACGUAUGGAAGACCUUUCUAAGAAUCAGGCCAAGGCGAACCAGCCAACUUCUAGGAAUUUCUGGAAGGGAGGACCACGCAAGACGGGAACUCAGCAACAUGAUCUUUGAGGUUCCGUCAGACUCUAAAAUGAUGCCGUUCCAACCCAAGGAUGACAUCACCUCCGGAAGAGUUCAGAGCACACAAGCAAAGCCGCGAGGCCCUCUCACCUCCCAAAGGACCGGAGACCACUGUGCUCGGGGCUCUAACUUUUCACUCAAAGCACAAUGUCCUGGGGCCGGGGGCAGGGGGUGGGGGAGGAGGAAUGGCGGGUGUACACGACUUACCCACUCAUGACUCCAGCACUUGGGAGUAUUUUGAGUUUUUGGUGGUUCGGGCUGGGCAAUCCUAUUUCAUUCCCAUUCCUUCCCUUGGCUCUCCCCUUACGCAAAGCACAAGAAGGACUGGGCAAGAGAGUGGGUUAGGGUUGGAGAAUUAAGCACGAGGUCCCAGCAGUGCGGUUCUCAGUUGUAUAAAACCCCUAACCCUUGAGCGAUACCUAGAUGUCAGUGUCACUUUCACUGCCGUCUGACUGUGAGCUAAUGAGCACGAACGAACAAACCAAUAGGACCAAAAAUUCAGCGCACAAAUGGGCGAUAGUUGUGCAAGGCCGGGGGUCCCUGGCCAGCCUGUCAGUGCAAACCUGGCGAACCCAGGCAUCUUGAGACACGGAGCAGCCGCGCUUUUUCCAAGGAGAAAACGCCCCCGGAAUCCCAGCAACUGAGGAGGUAAAGCAAAAGGGAAGAAAAGUCUUUGUCACUGUGAAUGACGGUGCUUACGACAAAGCAAAGGUCAGCUGGACAAGACGGAGAAGGCUGACCACAAUCUGUCAAGGCUCUGAAGGCAACCUCCUAACUCCUCUCUCCAAAGCUCUAAACGUCAGCAACACCAACUUUACUGUGACACCGAAUCUCACUUCGAAAUCUAGUGCUUCCUUUUGUCUUACACGCCACUAAAUACCUUUUGGCUGUGAUGGGGAGAGUUUUUGGUUCAAAACCAUAACGAAAAGAAUGAAUGGGGACAAGAAAGAAGAUGCUCUGAGGAUGAGAGAGCAAUAAAUAACCAGCUCCAAGAGGAGAUGAGAAGAAUCACCCGAAGCAUCAUGACCUAAAACGCAGGUAAAACGGAAUAAAAGCGCGUGAAGGCCGGGUAGGGAGGGAAUCCCCAGGGAGGGUGGGAGAGGAGGACGGUGACGACGCUGUGACCGAGUUUCUCUCCAGGCCAUCGGGGGGCACCAGUGGUCCAGGACACGGUGGCGGCUCCAGGUAGAGGCUCCCUGAGCCGGCUUCCCCAGUCAUGGGGUGGUCCCAAGUGGGGGAUACUCAUCUAUCAAUCAUUAGAAAUGCUUUCAUAGCCCGGUGAUUACAGAAAAAGAAAAUCAAAUAAAACGGACUUCUGUAUUUGCUUAUCCAAAUCCAAAAGGGUGACGACAAACAGUGUCAUGUGGUCCCCAGAAGCAGGAGCACCAGGGAGAGCUCAGACAGUCUCCAGGGAGCUCCUGCUGCUCCGAGCUCCCACCAUCCCCAGGCAGCAGGCCCGGAGUGCCAGCCCCUGAGGCCCGGGCUGCAGGGCAGGGGGACGGAGCUCACAGGGCGAGGGCGAGGGGAAGGGGCCUGGAGCAGCGACCUCAAAGACAGACGGGUCUCAGGGACACGGUUGGCUCCGAGAAAGCAGAAUGAACGUGGGGUGCAUAGCGCGGGCAUCUGGAAAGGCAGGAGGUUAAGUGCCUUGCUCGAUAUCACACGCGAAGAGCACGAAUGUUACCCGUGUAACUGUUUUGCUGCUCCAGCCUUUUCCACCAGACGCCACAGAGUCACAAUUCCUUUUUUUUUUUAAGGUGGAAUGUAUUGCUUCAAGGUACAUAUAACAAACAGGUCUGCCAGACAGGCGAGCCCGGACAACACAUACCAACAAAUCUAUUCCUUCAGAAUGUGCGGCCCUCCUUCCUCAAGACUGCUGGCCGGCAAAACCCUUCCAAGACCUGCACGACACUGGAUCACAAACCAUGAGCCUUACCGGCAGCUCCAUGACCUGUCCUGGGGUCGGCAACAUCCUUGGCCCUGAGCGUCAGUCAAGUGUGAGGCCUCUGGCAGCUACCCGCUACCGGGGGAGCCGAAGAGGCGGCGGAGGGGAGAGAGGUGGAGAAGGGCAGGGCGGAGGGGAGCAGGCGUAUAGAAACGGAGCACCCCCAAAGCAAGCCCAAAGCUGCUUUUGCAGCUUAGACCACCCGGAGUGCCCCUGAACUGUGCCGUCCCGGCUGCUCUGCAAUUUGAAUAACACUGGCUUCAAAUGUCCAUGGCAAAACCACGUGUUAGAAGCACCGUUUUUCACAUCAGACCCUGGGUGUUGGGGAGCUGGCCCAGGGGUGUAAGGAGCUUUCAGGACCCAGGGAGGCAGCUCUGCUGAGACAGAGGCUGGGGGCACUGCCCUGCCUGGUACCUGCUCCGUGUCUUCACAUUAUUUCAUUUACUCCUCACAAAACACCAAUAAGAUAUGUGUUAUCUCCACUCUGUAAAUGACAAGACACACCUACAGAGGAUACGUUACUCCCCGAGGCCUCAGCAACAGCAGCAACAGCACGUGGCAGGGCCAGAUCCUAAUCUAAGGCUCUCAAAGUGACAGCAGCCUUCCUCUGGCGAGAAGCAGGGAGCAGCUCCUCCAGCCGGCGGCAUUCGGGCCACUCACGACUCUGCACACGCGGCAAAGACGCUGCCUUGGCGCCCAUUCAUUCAUCCCAGACGAUGUCCCAACUGCCACCACGUCUAGAGCUCGGCUGCAAACACCGAUACAACCACGAAGGAGACAGCCAGGCUGCCCUACCCUGAAGCGGUGGGGCAGUGAUGCAGGGAAUAAAGACAAGGGCAAAUAACACGACAUCAGAUAGCAAGACGGGCUACCAAAAACAAGACCCCACAUGUGAGAGCGGGCAAGGGUCCUAAUUCAGACUGAGGGAGGGGGGACCCAGCGCUGAGACCUGAGAGACCAGACCCACCCCCGCAAAUAGCUAGAGGCAGAACAUUCCAGGUCAAAGAAUCACACCAGCGCCCUGAGGACACAACAGGCUCAGCGUGAAAGAAAAAAACCAGACCUGUUUGCCUGGAGCAGAAUAAGAGAUGUAGUUAGAUGGAUAUUCAGGAAUAGGUCAUGCUGCUCCUGAGGUAAAAGUAAAGUUUGCAUUUUAUUCCGUGAUUGGAAGUUAUCAGAGGGGUUUUUUUUGUUUGUUUGUUUGUUUUGCACCCGUGGUAUAUGGAGGUUCCCAGACUCGGGGUCCAAUCGGAGCUACAGCUGCCGGCCUACACCACAGCCACAGCAACGCAGGAUCUGAGCCACAUCUGUGACCUACGCCACAGCUCACAGCAACGCCAGAUCCUUAACCCACUGAGCAAGGCCGAGGAUCAAACCUGCAACCUCAUGGUUCCUAGUCGGAUUCGUUAACCACUGCUUCACGAUGGGAACUCCACAAAUCUUUAUACUUGAAAAACCUAAGGAAAUGACAUUAAAAUGUAGGACUGCUGUUGAAUAAAAGACAUAUGAACAAAGUUGACGAUGGGUGAAGGCCAGGACAUCCGCAACAUGUGUCACUGACGUACGAUUAACAUCUGGAACAGACAGAAUUUCACUGGGCAAAUGGGACAAGGAUACGACUAGGUCAUUCAUCAAUGGAAAAUGCAUAGGCCGGUUUACACAGAGCUCCUGAUCCUCACCAGCCAUCGGAGAAACACGCUACGUCUGCCAAACUGACAAAGGAUUUGAAAGUCAGAUGCUUGGUGCUCACAUCGUGCUGAACAGAGAGAGAGCAGUCAUGCUGUACUUAGUGAAACUAAGAAUGGACUGGGAGUUCCCGUCGUGGCUCAGCGGUAAUGAAUUGGACUAGGCUCCAUGAGGAGGAGGGUUUGGUCUCUGGCCCCGCUCAGGGGGUUAAGGAUCUGUGAGCUGUGGUGUAGGUCGCAAAUGCAGCUCAGAUCUGGCAUUGCUGCGGCUGUGGUGUAGGCCAGCAGCUACAGCUUCAAUUUGACCCCUAACCUGGGAACUUCCAUAUGCUGAGGGUGCGGCCCUUAAUAAAGACCGAGGGUGGGGGAGGGAGAAUAGACUUGGGGAAGUUCCCUGGUGGCUCAGCGGGUUAAGGAUCUGGCAUUGUCACUGCUGUGGCACAAAAAGCUGCUGUGGCUUAGCUUUGGUCCCUGGCCUAGGAACUUCCACAUGCCACAGCUGCAGUCAAAAAAACAAAAACAAAAAACAAACAGGGAUUCCCACCACAGUGAAGCGGGUUAGGAAUCCACCUGCCACAGCUCGGGUGGCUGCAGAGGUACAGGUUCAAUCCCCGGCCCAGAGCGGUGGGUUAAAGGAUCUGGUAUUGCCGUAGCUGCACCAUAGGUCACAGCUGUGGCUUGGAUUUUUUUUUUUGGACUUUAUAAAAAUUAAGGAUUUAUUUUCAACAAAGGAUAUUAUGAACAAAGUUAAUAAACAUACAGCAAAUUAGUAGAUAUCAUUAAAAUUGUCUAAUACAAACAAGACGCUGAUAUGUAGAAUACAUGAGAAAUGCCUCCAAGUCAACAUUGAAAAGGAAACCCAAUGGGAAACAGGAAAACUCACGGAAAAGCAAACCCAGGUGCCUGAACUGUUCAUGAAGAGAUGUACAAAAUCAUUAGUAAGUAGAUAAAUACAAAUUUGGGGUUUUGGGCUGCAACCAUGGCAUGUGGAAGUUCCUGGGCCAGGACUGAACCCGAGUGUGGUUUGGAUUUGACCCCUGGCCCCAGAACUUCCGAACGCUGCAAGUGCAGCCUUAAAA